UCAAACUUGGUCAUUUAGAGGAAGUAAAAGUCGUAACAAGGUUUCCGUAGGUGAACCUGCGGAAGGAUCAUUAUUGAGUCUUAUCCAGUCUUACUUGGCUGUGCAUUUACUUGCACGCUCGGUGGGGUUGGCUCUUCGACUUCACACACCUGUGCACCUUCGGAAUGCACUUCUCUGCUCAUGCACUUGUGCGUGGCUGUCUGCUCUUCGGGGUAGGAUUCGAGCGUUGUGGUGAAUUAAUUUUCAUGACUCGCUUCGGGGAGAAGUCUUCCGUAUUUUUUACACCUAAUUUAUUGUCUCUGAAUAAUUUCGUUUGCUCUGUAAUAGAGUGAUCGUUUAAAAUAAAUACAACUUUCAGCAACGGAUCUCUUGGCUCUCCCAUCGAUGAAGAACGCAGC
rnacentral:misc_RNA from 1 species